rnacentral:lncRNA from 1 species
CUCCCCUUUAACCAUGUUAUUGGUCCCCGAAUAAUCAAUCUAAUAUUUACCAUGCCUUUUGUUUUCCUGACCCUUUUUUUUAUUAUUCAAAAGCAUGUUGAUGACCACCAAAAAUAUUUAAACAUCACAUGAGGGAGUUCUUGUUUCAAAACACAUGAAAACUUAUGCAAACUACUUUCUUUUCAAUAGUUUAUUAUACGGUGGUCAUAUUUUUCAUCAAUCACAAGAAAAUUCUUUAUUAG